AAACGGUUACCAAAUAGAGCCUAAAUUAAAAAACAAAUUUAUUUAUUUUAAAAAAAUUAUUAUUAUUAUUAUUAUAUAUAUAUUUUGAUAACAACUACAUAUUUUGUUCCAAAAAGCUAAAAAAAAAAAAAAUUUCGCGCCGCUUGAGUCCUCGCGCGCGCUGAGUUUAUUGGAAAGAGACACGUCAUCUCCUUUUGGGAAUUGGUAUUUCUGCCCCUUUUUUUCUAUCUUGACCGAUAGAACCCAACAUUAUUCUCUCUCCAUCUCUUCAUCUUGACAGAAAACAAAUCCUCGUUUCCUCUCAAUGACUACUUCCACAAUCGAAUCGACAAUUCUCAAUAUGUAUCGCCUCUCAAUCUCUAAAAUCAUGGACUAACGAUCGAAGAGGAUUCAAUACCGAAUCUCUGGCUCAACCUAGCUAGCUUCACUCACAAUCACUUUAACGGGCAGACGUUUGAGCUCACUACCGUCAUCAUCUACAGCUCACAAUCGAUUUUUGAGUAUUAGUUCUGCUGCUCCCGGCAGACACGAAUUUCUAAAACAAAUUCUCCAUAAAAGAGCCAUAAUCCUCUGUCUCUGAUUCGAAGCAAAGUGUGAUACUUCAUUAAGAGGCAUAUAACUUCGUUGAGAGGAUUGGAGUAACAUAUCAGCUACUUUCUUGGAUUUUGUACUGUGGAUUUUGUAGCUACUUCCUUGGAUUUUGUACAGUGAGGUGAUUUUUUGACAAGUGCAGACGGGAACUCUAGUGUUAGAAGGUUUAUCAAUUUUUCAACAGAAGUGUUAAGAAAUUGAUGAUUUUCUUGAUAAAUGGAUUUACUUCUUGUUUUGAAACAUUGAUAAAUGUUAAAUUGUUUUGGCACAUUGAUAAAUGAUGAAUUGUAAAAAUGUUUUAACUCUUUUGAUAUAUUUAAUGGGAUAUGUAUGUUUUUUGAAUUGAAUUAUAGCUGAAAAUGAUGUGAAUUCUGUAAGGGUGCUUUAUUUAUAUAAAAAAAUAUAUAUAUAUUUUUUACGGGGAGCUUGAAAUACCGUAAAUAAGUGAAAAUCCUCCUUAAAUAACUUUUUUACGGCAUGCAUGAUAAGUUGUGAGAAUGGUUUAUAUUAUUUACGGGUACUUAAAAUUCGCCGUAGAAAAGUUUUCUACGGCAUGCUCCAACGCCUUGUGAGAUUAUUUACGGGUAGUUAAAAUUUGCCUUAGAAAACUUUUCUACGAUGUGCUUCUGUACUUCGUGAAACUAUUUACGGUAGUUACAACUCCUUAUAGAAAUUUUUUUUACGGCAUGCGUCGAUACCUCGUGAGAUUAUUUAUGAGUAUUUACAAUUCGUUGUAGAAAACUUUUCUACAGCAGGCGUUGGUACCUCGUGAGAUUAUUUACGGUACUUACAAUUCGCUGUAGAAAACUUUUCUACGGCAUACGUCAGUCCCUCGUGAGUUAAUUAUUAAUUGUAAAUAAAUUUAAUAUAUAUAAACAAAAUUAUUUUCUACGGCGAAUCUAUUAUUUUUCUACGAGAUAGAUUUUUUCUCGUAAAAAAAAUUGAAUAUUUACGGAACCAUCAUACACAAGGGCCUAGAAUGCGCCGUGAAUGAGUUUCUACGGCGUUUUUGGCCCCUCGUAGAAGCCCUUUUUUCUUGUAAUGAUUUAUCUAUUUGCACUAAAUGUCUUCCACACUUCAAGCUUGUUUUUGGAGAGAUUAAGGAAAGAUUUUGAUGAAGCCAUAGGUGAGGGAGUGAUGAGCUUGAGGAGAGCUUUUAUUUGAAACCAUUAUUGCAAGGAGCUAGGGAUCUCGAAUUUGGGGAUUUCUCUUCAAAGAGGGCAUGACCGUGACGUAGUUGAAGACUAGUUUCCCAAAUAUAGUUAUGAAUGGCAGACUACAAUGCACCGCAGUCUUAGCCUAGAGUAGAAGAACGUCGCUUUUCGCUAUCUUUUGUACUUGGGCUUAAUUUUGUAAAAAUGUUGAUUUAAUAUGUAUUAUUUUUGCAACAUGUAAAAUGAUUGGAUCCAUUUUGUAUAUGGCCCUUGGAGUAAUGUAAUUAAAUUUUAUUUACACUAAAUCCUUUAGUGGGUUUUAAGUAACGUGUUA